AUUGAACGCUGGCGGCAGGCCUAACACAUGCAAGUCGAGCGGAUGAAGGGAGCUUGCUCCUGGAUUCAGCGGCGGACGGGUGAGUAAUGCCUAGGAAUCUGCCUUGUAGUGGGGGAUAACGUCCGGAAACGGGCGCUAAUACCGCAUACGUCCUGAGGUAGAAAGUGGGGGAUCUUCGGACCUCACGCUAUCAGAUGAGCCUAGGUCGGAUUAGCUAGUUGGUGUGGUAAAGGCCUACCAAGGCGACGAUCCGUAACUGGUCUGAGAGGAUGAUCAGUCACACUGGAACUGAGACACGGUCCAGACUCCUACGGGAGGCAGCAGUGGGGAAUAUUGGACAAUGGGCGAAAGCCUGAUCCAGCCAUGCCGCGUGUGUGAAGAAGGUCUUCGGAUUGUAAAGCACUUUAAGUUGGGAGGAAGGGCAGUAAGUUAAUACCUUGCUGUUUUGACGUUACCAACAGAAUAAGCACCGGCUAACUUCGUG
rnacentral:rRNA from 1 species